rnacentral:piRNA from 1 species
UUUUAAAUAUGAUUCAAAACA